rnacentral:rRNA from 1 species
GACGAACGCUGGCGGCGUGGAUUAGGCAUGCAAGUCGAACGGUAUCAUCCUUUCGGGGGUGAGAGAGUGGCGAACUGGUGAGUAACACGUAGGUUAUCUACCCUCAAGACGGGGACAACCCAGGGAAACUUGGGCUAAUACCGGAUGUGAGCAACUUUUAGUUGUUUGAAAGGUGGCGUAAGCUGUCGCUUGGGGAUGAGCCUGCGUCCUAUUAGUUAGUUGGUGAGGUAACGGCUCACCUAGGCAAUGAUAGGUAGGCGGCCUUAACGGGUGGUCGCCCACACUGGGAUUGAGAUACGGCCCAGACUCCUACGGGAGGCAGCAGUCGAGAAUAGUCUACAAUGGUCGGAAGACUGAUAGUGCGACGCCGCGUGAACGAUGAAUCCCUUCGGGGUGUAAAGUUCUUUUAUAUGUGAGCAGUGCUUCUUAUAUUAACAGUAUGGGGAGAGAGAUAUUAGCAUAUGAAUAAGCAACGGCUAACCCCGUGCCAGCAGCCGCGGUAAACUCGU